rnacentral:lncRNA from 1 species
AGGAAGAGGGGUGUUACUUGUGAUUACCUCUCCUGGUGGCAUGAAUGAGAAACGCCCAAUUCCUGUAGCCUUGGGUGCUUGAACAUUUGGGUCCCAGUUGGUGCCUCAGGAGGUCUAGGAGUUGUCUUGUUUGCAAAAAACAUGUCCCUGGGGGAAGCCUUUGAGAGUUUCAAGUUUGCCUUUUCUGUUUUUAUGGUUGUGGUUCAAGAUGUGUGCCUUAACUUCUUGCUCCUGCUGCCAUGCCUGGUGCUUGCUGCCAUGAUUCCCCAACAUGAUGGACUCGUACCCUUCUGCAAUCAUAAGUCUAAAUAAGUUCACUCUUCCAUAAGUUGCUUUGGCUGUGGCGUUUUAUCACAGCCACAGAAAAGCAGCCAACACUCCUCCUCAGUGGGAGCUGGUGAAGGAAUUGUGCAGGCUGGCCGGGAUGGCAGGUCUAUACCACCAACAUGCCUGAUGUAUGCAGUGCUCAGAACGGCACCCAGAACCUCACGAAUGUUCAACCCACUGAGCCACUUCCCAGCUCCCGCCUGAUUUCUGGAGUGGAUCCCUCUGCUGGUUCUAUGGAAUGGCCAUGACUCCUUCCCUUCCCUUCCCUUCCCUUCCCUUCCCUUCCCUUCCCUUCCCUUCCCUUCCCUUCCCUUCCCUUUCCUCUUCUUUUCCUUUUUUUCUCUUUAGUAACUUUUUUGCAGAGAAAGUUCAGAAAGACCCACAUCCCCUGCACACAUUCCCAAUGACUACAUCGUAGGUUUCCGCAGCACAAUGUCAACACCAGGAAACGGACUGACAUUGGCCUCAGCUGUUCGUGCAGUUCUUGCCGUUUUACCAUCUGUGUUGGCUUUCACAACAAUCAACCCCAUCUAGAUGCAAGGUUAUUGGAUUCCAUGAAGAUUUAUUUUCCUACCAAUACCAUUCCUAAUCCCUGCUAACUGCCAAUCUCCUUUCCAUCUCUGCAACCUUGUCAUCUUGUGACUAACUUAAAAAUGGAGUCAUGCAGUUUGUGACCUUUUGAGAUUGCUUUUUUCCUCUCACUCAGAGUCAUUCCCCAAAGAUCCAUUCAAGCUGAAUCAAUACUGAUAGUCUAUUCAUUUUUAUUGCUGGGUAGUAUUCCAUGGGAUGACUACCCCACAGUUUGCUUAAUCAUUCACCUGCUGGAAGAUACCUUAUUUCCACUUUGA